CCCUGGUAGUCCACCCCGUAUACCGAUGAGUGCUAAGUGUUAGAGGGUUUCCGCCCUUUAUUGCUGAAGUUAAAGCAUUAAGCACUCCGCCUGGGGAGUACGGCCGCAAGGCUGAAAUUCAAAGGAAUUGACGGGGGCCCGCACAAGCGGUGGAGCAUGUGGUUUAAUUUGAAGCAACGGGAAGAACCUUACCAGGUCUUGACAUCCUCUGACAACCCUAGAGAUAGGGCUUUUCCUUCGGGAGCAGAGUGACAGGUGGUGCAUGGUUGUCGUCAGCUCGUGUCGUGAGAUGUUGGGUUAAGUCCCGCAACGAGCGCACCCCUUGUUUUUAGUUGCCAUCAUUAAGUUGGGCACUCUAAGGUGACUGCCGGUGACAAACCGGAGGAAGGUGGGGAUGACGUCAAAUCAUCAUGCCCCUUAUGACUUGGGCUACACACGUGCUCCAAUGGACGGUACAAAGAGCUGCAAGACCGCGAGGUGGAGCUAAUCUCAUAAAACCGUUUUCAGUUCGGAUUGUAGGCUGCAACUGGCCUAC
rnacentral:rRNA from 1 species